GGAGGUGCAAGGGACGCGGAUUCAAUCCCUGGGUCAGAAAGAUCCCCUGGAGUAAGAAAUGGCACCCCACUCCAGUAUUCUUGCCUGGAAAAUUUCUUGGGCAGAGGGCCCUGGUGAGCUACUGUCAAUGGGGCUGAAAAGAGUCAGACAUGACUGAGCACACGCACACUCUCCUAUCCUGCACCCAGCUGUUCCUUAAGCCUGAUGUCACUGUAGAUGGGCCAGUUGAGAAGACACAGCUUGCAAGCGUGCUGUCCUUCUGACCCGUUCUCUGGAACGGAAGGCAGCCCUGCCGACACCUUGACUAGCCUGUAAGAAUCUAAGACAACAACUGGAUACGCCACGCUGUACCUGGACUUCUGAUUUUACAGAACUGUAAAUAGUAAAUGAGUGUUUAUUACCUCAAGACUACAAGUCUGUGGGACUUCCUUGGUGGUCCAGUGGCUAAGAGUCCAUGCUCCCAAUGCAAGAAGCUUGGGUUUGAUCCCUGGUGGGGGAACCAGAACUCACAAGCCCCAUCUAAGAGUUUGCAUGCUGCAGCUAAAGAUCUUGCAUACCGCAGUGAAGAUCGAAGCUCCCAUGUGCCACAUUACGACUCAGCAUAGCCCAAUAA
ensembl:lncRNA